rnacentral:rRNA from 1 species
UACGGAGGAUGCGAGCGUUAUCCGGAUUUAUUGGGUUUAAAGGGUGCGUAGGCGGACGCUUAAGUCAGCAGUAAAAUUGCGGGGCUCAACCUCGUCGAGCCGUUGAAACUGGGUGCCUUGAGUGGGCGAGAAGUACGCGGAAUGCGUGGUGUAGCGGUGAAAUGCAUAGAUAUCACGCAGAACUCCGAUUGCGAAGGCAGCGUACCGGCGCCCUACUGACGCUGAAGCACGAAGGCGUGGGUAUCGAACAGG